UAGUCAAAUUAGGAAAAGAUACCUGCAGUGAAAACUAGAGUCUCAGGUCCUUCAACUGUUGAGCAUCACAGUACACUACACAUUAUCACUUGUUUGGUUGGACUUUCAGUUAGCAGUUGAAUUACUGUACUAGCGUCCAACGAAUGAAAAAUAAUUGUAGUUUUUGAAUUCAAUCACUUUACUUUCAUAGAAAAUUGUUAUUGAAUAUCAAAAUAAUUGUAAAAAUAAAUUUUUUUUUAUUAGGAAAUUGUGAGGAGGAUGUUAGUCACAGG
rnacentral:misc_RNA from 1 species